GUCGUCAGCAUCACUGGCUGAGUGGAAAUAAUCCUUGGAUGCUAAUUGGUUCGCUAUCUGUGAAUUGGUUGCUUCCUUGCGAUACUCACUACUCGGUCAGUGAGGAAGUGCGUUUGCUGGUCAACGAGCUUUCUAACUGUCAUUACCCUGCGCUUUUCGAUUCGUCGAGUGGCCAGGAUGUGGCUUUGAGAUUGUUCGCACUUAGUAAUCGCGAUGCUGGCUUCCAACGGUUGCCUCCGCCCCGUCUUGAAACACGGACCAAGGAGUCUAACGUAUGUGCGAGUGUGUGAGUGGCAAACUUAUACGCGUAAUGAAAGUGAGGCCGUAUGGCCAUGUUGGGGUCACCAACAACCGACCUUGAUCUUCGGUGAAAGGUUUGAGUAUGAGCAUAUCCGUUAGGACCCGAAAGAUGGUGAACUAUGCCUGAGCAGGGUGAAGCCAGGGGAAACUCUGGUGGAGGCUCGUAGCGAUACUGACGUGCAAAUCGUUCGUCAGACUUGGGUAUAGGGGCGAAAGACUAAUCGAACCAUCUAGUAGCUGGUUCCCUCCGAAGUUUCCCUCAGGAUAGCUAGAGUCUUUAUCAGUUUUGUCAGGUAAAGCGAAUGAUUAGAGGUUCCGGGGAAGUAACUUCC
rnacentral:ncRNA from 1 species